rnacentral:rRNA from 1 species
GCUGCUGGAGGUAUCAGAAGUGCGAAUGCUGACAUAAGUAACGAUAAUGCGGGUGAAAAACCCGCACGCCGGAAGACCAAGGGUUCCUGUCCAACGUUAAUCGGGGCAGGGUGAGUCGACCCCUAAGGCGAGGCUGAAAAGCGUAGUCGAUGGGAAACAGGUUAAUAUUCCUGUACUUGGUGUUACUGCGAAGGGGGGACGGAGAAGGCUAGGCUAGCCGGGCGACGGUUGUCCCGGUUUAAGCAUGUAGGCGGAGUGACCAGGUAAAUCCGGUUGCUUAUCAACGCUGAGGUGUGAUGACGAUGCACUACGGUGCAGAAGUAGUUGAUGCCAUGCUUCCAGGAAAAGCCUCUAAGCAUCAGGUAACAUGAAAUCGUACCCCAAACCGACACAGGUGGUCAGGUAGAGAAUACUCAGGCGCUUGAGAGAACUCGGGUGAAGGAACUAGGCAAAAUGGUGCCGUAACUUCGGGAGAAGGCACGCUGGCAUUAGGUAAAGGGACUUGCUCCCGGCGCCGAAGCCAGUCGCAGAUACCAGCUGGCUGCAACUGUUUAAUAAAAACACAGCACUGUGCAAACACGAAAGUGGACGUAUACGGUGUGACGCCUGCCCGGUGCUGGAAGGUUAAUUGAUGGGGUCAGCCGCAAGGCGAAGCUCUUGAUCGAAGCCCCAGUAAACGGCGGCCGUAACUAUAACGGUCCUAAGGUAGCGAAAUUCCUUGUCGGGUAAGUUCCGACCUGCACGAAUGGCGUAAUGAUGGCCAGGCUGUCUCCACCCGAGACUCAGUGAAAUUGAACUCGCUGUGAAGAUGCAGUGUACCCGCGGCAAGACGGAAAGACCCCGUGAACCUUUACUAUAGCUUGACACUGAACAUUGAGCCUUGAUGUGUAGGAUAGGUGGGAGGCAUAGAAGUGUGGACGCCAGUCUGCAUGGAGCCAACCUUGAAAUACCACCCUUUAAUGUUUGAUGUUCUAACUCGGCCCCGUAAUCCGGGGUGAGGACAGUGUCUGGUGGGUAGUUUGACUGGGGCGGUCUCCUCCCAAAGAGUAACGGAGGAGCACGAAGGUUAGCUAAUCACGGUCGGACAUCGUGAGGUUAGUGCAAAGGCAUAAGCUAGCUUGACUGCGAGAGUGACGGCUCGAGCAGGUACGAAAGUAGGUCUUAGUGAUCCGGUGGUUCUGAAUGGAAGGGCCAUCGCUCAACGGAUAAAAGGUACUCCGGGGAUAACAGGCUGAUACCGCCCAAGAGUUCAUAUCGACGGCGGUGUUUGGCACCUCGAUGUCGGCUCAUCACAUCCUGGGGCUGAAGUAGGUCCCAAGGGUAUGGCUGUUCGCCAUUUAAAGUGGUACGCGAGCUGGGUUUAGAACGUCGUGAGACAGUUCGGUCCCUAUCUGCCGUGGGCGUUGGAAGAUUGAGAGGGGCUGCUCCUAGUACGAGAGGACCGGAGUGGACGAAUCACUGGUGUUCGGGUUGUCAUGCCAAUGGCAUUGCCCGGUAGCUAAAUUCGGAAGAGAUAACCGCUGAAAGCAUCUAAGCGGGAAACUUGCCUCGAGAUGAGUCUUCCCUGGGGCUUUAAGCCCCCUGAAGGAACGUUAAAGACGAUGACGUUGAUAGGCUGGGUGUGUAAGUGCAGCGAUGCAUUGAGCUAACCAGUACUAAUGAACCGUGAGGCUUAACCUU